CGCUGCCUGAGGCGCAGGCGCGUGGACGCAGCCCGCCGGGGCCUCGCAUCGCUGUGGGCUUCCUCUGACGACCCAGCAGAGGCCUUUCCGCCUGGCGGUGCUCGGCGCCUCUGGCCUCACCGGCCAGUUCAUGACAGAGCAGGUGUCCCAGAGCGGACCUCCCACCUGCCGUGGGCCGCGCGGGCCGCUCCCCGGAGAAGCUGCGGAGAGUGCCGGAGAGGCUGCUGUGAAGCCGGGAAGACCAACACUGUCAUCUGAAAUUGGAAUAAUAAUUUCUGAUAUCACUAAUCCAGCCUCACUUGAUGAAAUGGCUACACCGGCAACAGUUGUCCUCAAUUCUGUAGGACCCGUACAUUGACUGUUAAGGAAAGUUUCCUGACCUUACAUUCAGGACCUGAGCAGUUGCCGUAAAUCUUCAUUUGUUAUACUGUUGUGUGUCAACAAGUAUAGUUCAGAACUUGAGGUGCACUUGAACUUCCCUAAGGAAACCACAUGAUAUGAGAUGCUGAGAAAAAUUAAAUUGAUGUAUCUCCAGUGUACAACUUUCAUUUGAAGAUUGAAUAAAGAUUAGGAAAAAGAAGCUCAGUUCCUGGGGUCAAUGCAGUGGUUUAUACAGCAACUUAAACAACAGCAAUGAAAAAGUAGCAUCUAGGUGUUCAUUUCAUCUGCUUUCCAAAUGAAGUGACCAAACACCUCAAGAGGAUCUGGAUUUUUCCUGCAAGGAAGAAGUGUGAAAACAUUUUUAAUCAUUAAGACAAGAGAGUUUUGCCACUUGUCAGUGAUGCAGACAUUGUGUACUAGCUGCUUUAUCCUGAAGGCAGUUUAUUAGUUACACAGAUGUGUUAGAAAUUGGGCUCCUGGCAGGGUUUGACAUGGCUAGUGAAUAACUAAGUGCAGUUUUUAUGUACUUCACCAAUGUGUUGUGUUAUUCUUACCGAUUAUUAUAUGCAAGUAAAAUGUAAAUCUGUGUGAUUAUACAGCUUCUUUUAUAUCCAAACAUUAUCCAUAAAGAAAAUAUUCAUGAAUGGAAAGAGAUGGUAAAUAUUGGUGAAAAACAGCCAAAGGUUUUUUGUUUUGGUUUAAAACUCUGACAUAAUUUGAAAUUAUGGAAUAUUACUCAGUAUUUUCAUAAUAAUAGCAAGUUGACAAAUGAUACUCUGAAUAGACAAUCUGUAAUGCUACAAACCAGAUAUUAGGGAGACUUUUGUAUAAUGAGUUAGAAUCAUUCUUUCAUUAAUAUCCCUCCUUGGUAGUACAUCAGCUCUUCUGGCUCAUUAAUGCAAUGUUGAGGAUUUUCAAGUGACGGUGAAAAAUGAAGUAAAUAAAAUUAUAGUGGUCCUAAGACAGAAUGUCUUUAUAAGUGCUUUAGUAAUACACUUCUAACACUAGUAAAAUGGGAAUUGAAAAAGUGAUUAAUUUGUAAUUAAGGCUUUUAGAAAGUAAAAAUUUUCGACUACUUUUGAUAUUCCUUUUCUUUAAUAGUACAGAAUUGUAAAACAUGUCUUAAGAAAAUAACAUACAAAAUUUUUUUCUCAGUGAUAAUUUAUUUUUUCCAUCUUUACUGAAGUACAAUUGACAAAUCAAAUUGUAUUAUUUAAAGCAUGGAACAUGAUGGUUUUAUAUACUUAUUAUGUACUGUGAAAGGAAUCCAUAGUUAAUUAACAAUACCACCACCUCACAUUUUAUCUUUUUUUAAAAAUGAGAACCUUUUAAUUUCUACUCUUCUAGCAAAUUUCAGUUAAAUACAGUGUUGUCAGUUAUAGUCCCCAUAUUAUACACUAGGUCCUCAGACUUUAUAUAUAUACAGACUUUAUUUACCUUAAGUUGGAAGAACUUGAGACAAUUAAUUAGAUUGGGGGCAAACUGGUGACACCAUGAAGAUGCUUUGCUACUUCAGAAAAGUUGCUAAGAUCUAAACUAAGCUUAUUUUCAAGGAAGCAACCUCAGAGACAACACACUACCUUCUGCCUUGCUCUAAGUUAACUACAGUUCAUGUCUCUCUAAGACAACCCUUAAGUCCUUAUUACUUCAUCUCAUUUUUGAGAUAUCCAGGGAGACAUAUAACCCCCAGCUCUUUCUAUUGUGACCCAUGAUUUCAACAUAUUAGUUUGGGAAUCUCAUUGAUGUCAAGUGUAUCCUAAUUCUGGUCUAAAAUAAAAUUAAAUUGGUUAGCAAUUGGAAAAGCUAUGAUUUAGCCACAGCCCUGUGGCACAAUUUAGAAGAAAUUUCAUAAGCUACAAUUUAUUGAAGCUAGACAUUGACCUAAAUGCCUUCUAGGCACUGCGUUAUUUACUUCUUACAAUAAGCUAAUUUAUCAGGUAAAUAAAAGCCAGUAUUUAUCCAGUUUAGAGAUGAGAAAACAGAUAUUUUGAAAGGUUAAGUUAUUUGCCUGAAGUUAAACUAGUUAUCAGCAGCAUCGAGAUUAAAAUAUUAUAAACUCUGCCUUAUUGUAACUACUAAUAUCAAAUUUACUGUUUGUUUGGUUUUUUUUUACAAACUAUAUUGUCCAAAAUGUAAUCUACAUAUUUUUAAUGCAGAGGCUUGACUGUAGACUUAUUUUAACACUGGAGCAUUAAGUCCCCAAAGUUUGAAUAUUUUAAAUAAAAGUAUCUAACAUAUGUAUAGGGAACAGAAAUUAACUGUGACCCACAUAAACACAUAUAAAAUAAAAGUUUAAUCUGAUUAUUUGAAAUAAUUUUCUGCUUAUUCUUUCCUUUUGAAUAAAGUAGAAUGUAUACAUAAUGUAGAGAAGAAAAAAUACUUUAAAACUAGGAAAUAUUUUAUAUUAAUUUAUCUGAAAGAGUUACAUUUUACUUCUUCACAGCUUGUUGUCUUCACUUGUCUUCAAAUAAACUGAAACUUGAAGUAAAAAAUUUCACUAUACCUACACAUAGUAAGUACAUGAUAAAUACUAAUUACUCAGUUGAUUACAUAGGAUCAAUUAGAGUAAACAUUGUGUGCCAAGUGACUACCCAAGGAAUUCUAGAAAUCAGUUAACAUUUUUAUGUAGUGCACAACGCAAGGCUUUAUUAUGUGUUACUGUGUCAUUAUACCUUGGGUUAUUUAUUGUGCUAAUCACUAGGGUUGCAAAAAUAAAAAUAUACAAGAAUCUCAAAUAUAGCAAGAGUUGCAACCAAGCAAAUCACCUCACAAAAUUAUGUAUAAAAUUCAGAGGGAUGAUCUUGAAGGCAGUGAAGGAUAUUAAAAAUCUCAUAGAAGAGAUAAUGCCAUACCAAAUUCCUACUCACCCUGGAAAUCACACUGGUUUUGAGGUUGAGUAGGAAUUUUGACAAGGCCAUAUACAAUUGAAAGUUAUGUGUGUGUGUGUAUAUAUAUAUAUAUACAUUGUGUGUGUAUGUAUAUAUGUGUGUGUGUGUGUGUGUGUGUGUGUGUGUGUGUAUAAAAUGACUGUGUGUAUAUGUAAAGUUAUGUUGGGGGCUGGAACAUUGUGGUAGGCAGAAUAAUGACCUCCCAAGAUAUCCAGAUCCUGGAUCCUGGAACCUGUGAAUGAUACCUUAUAGGGCAAACAGGACUCUGCAGAUGAGAUUAAAUUAAAGAUCCUGAGAUGGGAGGAAUUACCCUGGAAUACCCUCAUGAGCCUACCUGUGAUCACAAGUGUCCUGGUAAAAGGGAGGCAGAGGGAGAUUUGACUACAAAAGGAGAAGAGGUGAUGUGACGAGGAAAGCAGAAACUGGAAGAUGUGUUUUGAAGGUGGAGAAAGAGCACAAGCCAAGGAACACAGGCCACUGGAAGCUGAAAAAGGCAAGGUGAUUGGAUUUCCCUCUCAGCCUUCACAAGGAAGCAUCCUUGCUGAUAAUUUGAAGUCAGCUCGUGUAUCUAAUGAUUUCAGACCUCAGACCUCCAAAACUGUAAGAUAAUGAAUGUAUGAUUUAUUAAUACCAAUAAGUUUGUGGUAGUUUGUUACAGUGGCAAUAGGAAACUAAUACAAGCAUGAGCUCUCAUGCUGAAAAGCCUCACUAGAAUCACAAACCUGACUCCAAAGAGCAUGGGAUAGGAAAGAGUUCCAGUUCCAGAAUCCUAGGAAACAAACAUUGAAAACUGCAUAAAGAAGAUCCAAUGAGAGAGACUGAAAAAAAAAAAAUCAAGGGAAAGAGUAUAAAGAAAUGAUGAUGUUGAACCCAAAGGAAGAAUUCUGUAGAAAUCUGCUCUCUCUUGCAUACCAGACAGAGAGACAGUAGAGAUAGGUGAUUGCAAAGCAGUGCUGGCAUUCUAAAUGAGAUUAUAAUUCAUAAAUCUGUAUUUGUUUUUCUACCAAUAUUUGAGGUAAUGGGAUUAAAAAAUCAAAUGUAAUGGGAAUAUGUACAUCAAAAAGGGUAUGAACUUGCAGGAAUUUAUAAAGUGCUUCAUAUGCUUUCCCUUUUGUACUUUAGGGUAUUCUAAAUUUUAUUUUAGUAUAAUGAUAUGAUAGUAAGUGCAUUUAAACCUGGCCCUCAAUUAUGAGUCUUAAAAAUAACCCUACUAAUUCUUUAUGAUUAAAAAAAAUUCUCAGCCGUUUGGUUUUAUAGUAUAUAUGCAUAUUGGUGAGUCUUCUCACUGCCUUUUAUAAAUAAAAUGCUAUUAUGGUUUCUGGUUAGAGGUUAGGAAUUUUCAUUCUCUGGAAAAUGAAUUUAAAAGAGAUGAAACACAUUUAUACACACUAGAAACAAGGAUACCAGUUGAUCUGUGAAAUGUGAAGUGUCUGAUGCAAAUAUGAAGAAAAAGACAUUUAGAAAGGAAAAUAUCUACCUUUGAGUGCCCUUUUAACUUGGUCAUGAUAUCACUGUGGUUAUUAUUCGUGAGUAGUAAGGUCAUUAAUCUCCAUUUGAAUAAAAAUAAGGAGCCAGACUUGUUUGUAUGAAAUCAGAAGGCAUUCUAAACUUCGUGUUUUUCUACUUCAUAUUUCUUAGAUAAGGAGAUUCUUUGAUCAAAAGGCUAACAAAAAUGACUGUUUUCUGUAAGUUUUAUUCACAUACAAAGUUUAAUUUUAGUAGACACUGCUUUUGAACUAAAUAUAGCCUUUCUUACUAACCAUAAGUCACACCAAAUUGAGCUGUUAUAAAAUAUUAAAUCAAUUUUACUUAAUUUCCUCUAAGGAUGUAAAAAUGAGAUAUUUCUUUUCACUUAUUUAUUUAUUUAUUUUUUGGUGAACAGUCAGUUUACAGUGUUGCAUCAGCCUCUGGUGCACAGCAUAAUGCCUCAGUCAUACGUAUACAUUCAUGUAUUCCCUUUCAUAUUCUUUUUCAUUCUAGGUUACUACAAGAUAUUGAAUAUAGUUCCUUGUGUCCUUUUCCCAUUUUUAACAUAUUUAUUACAACAAACCUUAUAUUUCCAUGUAUAGAGGACUUAGAUCUUGUUUCCAGUGUUGAAUCAUGGAAUUCUAAAGAGCCAGACACUUCUCCACAGCAUUUCCUCGCCUCACCAAUGACUUGGGCAGGAGGAGAUCAGGGCUCAGUUCAGGAUAUGUGGUGAUUCUCCUGGAGAUUUCACUGUUUUUUCCAUCAAGGCCCUCUUGAUGCACAAGCACUGGCUAUAAGACUUCAUAGUGCUGCUUGGCUCAUUAGACUCUGUUGCAGAGGGCAGCCUUGAUGAGCAGGAUAAAGCAACAGCUAAGCCAAAGACCCUGCCAGGUCCUUUGAAUUCUUUUUUCUGGAGUUUGUUUCUUGGUGGGAAGAGGAGGAGUUUAACAUGGAUGGAAGAGUGAACAAUGACUUCAGGUUUUCUCUUGUGGAUGACUGGGUGAGUAAUCAUGCCAUGGGUAAAACAGCAGAUCCUGGGAGUAGAAUUGGUUUUGUUGGGGAAUAUAAUUAAUUCAUUUGAGGUUGUGUUAGAUGUGAUUUACUUAUAGAACAGUCUGAAUGUUUAUUUGGAAAUUUAAUAUUCAGAAAUGAAUUAAGGACAAAAGACAUAGAUUUGUAAGUCACAUACAUAUGUGUAAUAAUUAAGUGAAGAUUCUUGAUGAAAUUAUCCAGCCCUCUUCCCUAAAAUGAGAUCUUUUAAAAAAGAGGGCUAAAGAUGGAGUCCUGAGAUGAGCAAUGUACCAUAAAAGAUGGAGAAGUAUCCAUCAGAGUGGUGGGGAGAGGAAGGCGUUGUAUGGGAGAAAGUUCCCAGGGAAAGGGCUGUGUCAGAUGUCUCACCGGGUGAAAAAAUUACAACAGUUGAAGAAAUGUAAAGGCAGGAUUUGGCCACUAGGAAAUUACUUUUUUGUUACAGCAGCUUUUACACAGGAUAUUGGAACACAUAUUGGAUGACAAAGUUGGAGGAUUGAAUUUCAGUGGAAGAAACACAGAAGAUGAGAUGCUUGGUGGCAUCAGGAGGCAAAGAGAGAGAGAAAGAGAGGCAGAGGAAAGAAAGAAUCCUUGCAUAAUUAUGUCAGUUUUAGAAAUUUAAGAGUAGUUUUAUCCACUGCAGAGAUUGAUUACGGACGGUAGGAAGAGACAGUAACUUGUGGAGUGAGAUUUUACAAUGACCACAUCAGGACACAUCUCCGCCUGCUGACAGGGGUUACUGAGCCCGCUGUGAUUUCAUGCUCAUGGGCUGUGCCACGUAAUACCAAGGUUUAUAUUUCACCCUGUCUUUAUCACAUCGUACUGUCCCACAGCCUUGUUCACCAUUUCUGGUAGAUUAAGGGGUGACAUUAGUGUUUUAUAUUUUCGUGUAUUUGUGUGGCCAUGCUAGAGAUUACAUUUAUUUCAACAGGUGUUUCUUAUGGACAGAGCAGCAGUGACACUGAAGCUCUACAUCAGACGUAUUGUCAUGUAGCCCUUUCUUGGGAAGAUGCAAAUGAACAAGGAUCUGAGAGUGAUGCAGGGGGACAUACCGAGAGCUCGGUGAAAGAGCAUCCUCAAGAAGAUAAAGAAGAGGUGGUAUAUUUAUACAAUGGAAUACUACUCAGCCAUAAAAACCAACAACAUAACGCCAUUUGCAGCAACAUGGAUGCUCCUGGAGAAUGUCAUUCUAAGUGAAAUCUGCCCAUGGUAGAGGAGCUGAUGAAGCCUAUCAGAAUAGAUUCCUUUGGGGUUGGUGGUUUUGAUUUACAACCUGUCAGCUACAAGAAACUGGCUGAGAAUAAAGAAACUGAAUUUGUUAACAAUUUACCCCUUAAGAUGAAUCCAAAUGUUAUGUCUCAAGAAACAAAAUGUGAACCAAUUUUUGGACAAAAAUGAAGAGCAUAUAGUUUUACAAAAGUCACCAAUGAUGGUACAGAAAAUAACUGUCCAAGAGUAAAUACUGUGUAAGAAUAGAUAAAAUGUACCUUGAUAUUUUAAAGAAAAAAACACCUGUUGGUCCUUGAUUAUUACCUCAGGAUGACAAAAAUACAUAAGGUAAGUGUUUAUAGUUUAUAUCGAUGGGACACAGUGAUCAAUGAAGUUACAUAAACACUGCUGACAGGUAUGUACUUCGUGAGCCAGCGGGACUGAUUACAGAGUAACCUCCAAGUGGAUCCUGGGCAUCUGUGAGCAGUAGCUGUUACAACACCCUGUCGUCCCCAGAUUUUAAAAUGCCACUGUAGCAUUGGCUUUCUUUUAGAAGCCAUUUUUUACACUUUAAUUUUUUUAAACACUCAUAGCCCAGAAUUUGAGUAGCAUAAGAAAAUUGUUUAUUCUGGUGCUUUUUAUUCAGCCUUAUCAGUAGUCUGUAUUAUGCAAAAGGGGGCAAGUUGGCAUUUCAUAUAAAUGCUGUUAGUGACUGUUGAGAAACUUAUACAUCUCUGUUCCUUGUUUCUGUUUUCUUGAUUUAUUCUGUUUUAUAGACUCAUGACCACAGUAUUCCAUUUUUAUUUUAUGGAUUUGAUUUAUGUGUUUACCAUAAACUAAACAUAAACUAUCUCCAGUUCCUUGUGGAAUAAGGCAGGUGCUAAGCAGUUUUUACCUUGAGAAAUCUGGAGAAAAAAGAUAAAACUUUAAGUCAUUUCAACUAUGUUCUUCCCCACUCUCCUCCAUGUUCAUUCUUGUAAUUACAUGUCUUGCUUUCUGGGAAGCCUAUUUUGUUUUAUUAUUUUGCUAUUUUUGGUUCUGACUUUGAAGAUGUGCUACAAAGUACUAAAGUUCUGAUGAAUUAGGCUUGGAGAACUUGAAUGUUGUGGCUCACCUUCUACAAAAUGUGUUCUUCAGUAAGCACUAUGGUUUUGCCAUCUGUUAAAUCAUAUUUACAACUCUCACUGAUGUUUAAGUACUGAAGAAUUUGUACAUGUGCACAGACUCUUAGAUCUCAGAUGAGUUACAGAGAAGCAGGGGCUGGUUGGUACAUAGCUACCACACAAAAGGCCAGAAGUGCCCCUCCUUUAUUUAGAGAAAACCCCAGAGUGGAUUAUAUGCAUCAGUUAGGAGCUCAGGCUAAGGCAAACCCAGUUCACCAUUCAAGACAUUUUCUACUCUUGGAAAGAAAACUUCAAAGGACAUUAUGAAAAAUAAAUACUUGAGAUCCAUCCCUGCCUCAAAUCAAGCCAGGAAAAAAGGUAAUUAUACAUACUUUUCAUAAUAAAAUUCUGUACACAUAAUGUAUUAUUUCAUUUUCCUUAUUCUCUACUUUCCCUGCUUCCUUCUCUCCUUCUGAGAACUUUCCUUAUUCGUAGAAAAAAAAUUAAUCUUAAGGUGCUACAUUCCAUCUCUGAAAGACAGAUUCAGUUCACUUCAGUUCAGGGGGUUUGUCAUCAUUAAUUCUAGGUUUUCCUGAAUGAGACCCAGAAAGUAUGGGAGGUGAAUAUAAAAUAGGAGAGCCAAACCCCUCCUCAUCUGGUUGGCUUUGUAAUAUCCAAAAUGUUUGCCAGAAAAGAGCUAUAAUUUAGAUUGCAAUGUACAAAUGAAGGUGGAUACAGAGAGAAAUAUCUGGUUGUGAGUUGAGUCUAGUGUUGGAGAGUCCGGAUGUUUUAUCAGUCACCUGCAUGAUUUAUAAAGCACCUCUGCUAGUUAUUUCCUGGUGGAGUCAUCCAUCUUGGUGGGAGGAAAUGGCGGUUUCCCAUGUAGAAGCCCAUGCCACUAUUAAUAGGAAUAGAAACUCUCAAGUCAGACCAGUGUCUCUGCUGCCUUUAGACUCCGGCGGGGCCGAGAGAGCAGUAGAGCCAGAAGUGAUUCAUGCUUUCCUUUGUGGCUCAGCCGAGUAGGCAUCCGAGCCCAUCACUGCUGCCUGCUGUGACAGAGGAGAGCUAGCCUCACUAGGAAAGUCACUUCCAGCUUAAAGUGCCUCCCCGGCCUUUCCCAGGACCACUUGGACUGUAUUAGAAUUCUUUUGGCAUUGAAGUCUCUCCACUUCUGUCUGUGUGGCUGUGUCCGCUGCAGCAGCCUGCAUGUGUCAGAUGUAGGGCUCGUAUCUGUCCGUGUGCAGGAGAGCAGCUGGAGUGGUGGCUGUUCUGUGCACAGAGGAAUCAGAUUCUGUUGAUUAAUGCAGCAUCCUUUCCUCCUGUUCUUAACGUAGGGACCUCAGAUCCCUUCCCCUAACAGGCGCCUUGUGUUCUCUUACUUUCUCUUCCUUUUCUGUGGAGCACCUGCUUGUGCUGCUGUCAUCUGUUCAUUGUUGUUAAUAACUAACCUUCUACUGGAUCUAGUGCUCGAUGUUAAGAAAAACACUCGGAACAUUUCCCAAAUUUUAGAAUCAUCAAGAGGAGUGUGAAAGUUUUUCAUUAAUGUUUUAGAAGUAGUCAUCCUGUCUGUACCUUUGAGAGCAAGAGAAUGAAGUUUUGUUUUUAAUAUUACUUUAUUAUAUUUAUUUUGGACAAACUAACCCCCAACAUUUCUGAAGUUUACUUUAUCCAAAUUCAUUCAUAUAACAAGUGUUUUUGGGCACAGGCCUGGGUCUAGGCACUGUUGGACGCCCUCCAGGUACAUUGAUAAGCAAGGCAGCGCCACCUCCCCUCCCCCAUCUCAUGGAGCUGUCAUCUGAUGAAGAGGGACAGACACUUAAUAAUGAGCAUACAAAUGAGUAAAUAAUGUUACAUGUUAAGGGGAAAUAGAAAGCAGAGCAAGCGUGUCAGUGGUGGAGUCCAGCAGGUCACCAUUUGAAAUAAGGUAGAGUCGGCCUUGGUGAGAGAGCCCUUUGAAUGCAGACUUGUAGGAGGAAAUGGAAUUGGCUGUGUGGGUGUGUGGGGGAAGCAUAUUCCAGAAAAAUGAAACAGUCAGUGCAAAAGUCCUGAAGAGGGAGGAAUGCCUGGCAUCUUGGGGAUCAGCAUAGAAGCCCACAUGGCUGGGGCAGAGUGGGCAGAGAGGGGCAGGGGAGAUGAGGUCGGGCAUCACAGGGACAGGCGCGGUCGGCUUUUCUAGGGCAUUAAGCAGCCGUGGGCUUUCACUCAGUGUGGAAAGGUGAGCGCCUGCGAAGUUGUGAGCAUGGCAGUGACUUCACCUGAUAUAUCCUUUAGACAGAUUCCACGGGCUGAUGCCAUUGACUGAAUGCAUUCAAAUAUAGACCCACACCAUAGGGACACAGGAAGAAGCACAGAGACCAGUUAGACAGGGAUUUGAGGAAUCCGGGGUGGGAGUGAUGGGGCUCGAUCCAGGGUGGUGGCAGUGGUGGUAAUGAGAAGCAGUUGGAUGGGGAUGUAUUUAGGAGAUAGAGCCGAAAGUCUAAAAGAUUGGUCCGGGGUUGUGAGAGAGGCGUCAUGGGUGAUGGCAGGGUUUGCGGCUUGAGCAGCUGGAAGAAUGUGGUUCCUCUCCGGCUGGGAUGGAGGGAGAGGCAGAGUGGGCUUGGGGGUGGAGGGAGGACCAGGAGUUGAGCUGCUGAGGUGCUAAUUUUGAGAUGCCUGUUCUGUGUGCCAGUGGAGAUGGCAAGGAGGCGGUCAGAUUGAGGAGUCUGAAGUUGAGAGGGAGGUGUGGACUGUAGGUAUCAAGUGUUGUGAAAAAUGAAUAUUUUUGAAGCCGUGGGUUUUUUUUAAUCGAAGUAUAAUGGAUUUACAGUAUUGUGUUAGUUUCAGGAGUACAGCAAAGUGAACCAGUUUUUUUGCAGAUUAUAUUCUGUUAUAGGUUAUUACAAUCAUUGGGUAGAGUUCCCUGUGCUGUACAGUAAAUCCUUGUUGCUGAACUAUUUUAUGUACAGUAGUUUGUGUCCAUUAAUUGCAUACCCUUGAUUUCUCCUUUCCCCCACCUCCCAUUGUUAGCCACAAGUUUCUUUUCUGUCUGUGAGUCUUUCUGUUUUCAUAUAUGUUCAUUUGUAUUAUUUUUGAGAUUCCCCACGUAAAUGAUAUAUAGUUUUUGUCUUUCUCCAUCUGACUUACUUCAUUACACAUAAUAUUCUCCUAGACUUGACAAAGAUUAUCAAGGGAGCAUAUCUGGAGAGAAAAGGCAAACCAAGGCCUGAGCCUGGGGCGUGCUGAACUAAAGAGGUCAGGAGGGAGAGGGGUAAUCUGCAAGGACAGAGCAAGGUUGAGGCAACCUGACCAUGUGAGCUCCUGAAGCCAGGUGGGGAGAAUAUAUAGAGGAGAGUAGAUCUGCUGUGUCUGCUGCUGCUGAGAGAGAAUGAGGAUUGACAGCUGACCUUGGAAUUUAGCAGGAAGGAGGCUGUCAGCAUUGGACAAGCAGUUUCCGUGGGCAGGUGGCUGUGAAAGGAAAACUGGGAACAGGAGAAGUGGAAUUGGCUACUUCAAGGUAUAGACCCCCUGGAGGAAAGGGUGUAAAAUUUGGGGGGGGCAGUCGCUGGCAGGAGG